AUGACCAAGCACAAGAGGGAUUGGGGCAUAGGCUUCCGGGACAUGCAUUGCUUUAACCAUGCUCUUCUAGCCCGACAAAGUUGGAGACUUCUUCAGUACCCGGGCAACUAAUUUGCAGGAGUGCUAAAAUCAAAAUACUUCCCUAAUGGAAACUUAUCGAACACUGUGUUUUCUUAUGAUGCCUCACCAUCCUGGAGAGGAAUUGAAUUUGGCCUUGAGCUAUUAAAGGAAGGUUUGAUUUGGCGGGUGGGCAACUGUAAGAGCAUUCCGAUCCAGAGAGAUAAGUGGAUCCCUAGAAAAGAGGGAUAA
rnacentral:rRNA from 1 species